UACAGAAGAGCAUUCUGUAAGCCUGUGAAGGUGAGUUGAGAAGCUUGCUGGAGGUAUCAGAAGUGCGAAUGCUGACAUGAGUAACGACAAUGGGUGUGAAAAACACCCACGCCGAAAGACCAAGGGUUCCUGCGCAACGUUAAUCGACGCAGGGUUAGUCGGUUCCUAAGGCGAGGCUGAAAAGCGUAGUCGAUGGGAAACAGGUUAAUAUUCCUGUACUUCUGGUUACUGCGAUGGAGGGACGGAGAAGGCUAGGCCAGCUUGGCGUUGGUUGUCCAAGUUUAAGGUGGUAGGCUGAAAUCUUAGGUAAAUCCGGGGUUUCAAGGCCGAGAGCUGAUGACGAGUCGUCUUUUAGAUGACGAAGUGGUUGAUGCCAUGCUUCCAAGAAAAGCUUCUAAGCUUCAGGUAACCAGGAACCGUACCCCAAACCGACACAGGUGGUCGGGUAGAGAAUACCAAGGCGCUUGAGAGAACUCGGGUGAAGGAACUAGGCAAAAUGGCACCGUAACUUCGGGAGAAGGUGCGCCGGCUAGGGUGAAGGAUUUACUCCGUAAGCUCUGGCUGGUCGAAGAUACCAGGCCGCUGCGACUGUUUAUUAAAAACACAGCACUCUGCAAACACGAAAGUGGACGUAUAGGGUGUGACGCCUGCCCGGUGCCGGAAGGUUAAUUGAUGGGGUUAGCGCAAGCGAAGCUCUUGAUCGAAGCCCCGGUAAACGGCGGCCGUAACUAUAACGGUCCUAAGGUAGCGAAAUUCCUUGUCGGGUAAGUUCCGACCUGCACGAAUGGCGUAACGAUGGCGGCGCUGUCUCCACCCGAGACUCAGUGAAAUUGAAAUCGCUGUGAAGAUGCAGUGUAUCCGCGGCUAGACGGAAAGACCCCGUGAACCUUUACUGUAGCUUUGCACUGGACUUUGAGCCUGCUUGUGUAGGAUAGGUGGGAGGCUUUGAAGCGUGGACGCCAGUUCGCGUGGAGCCAUCCUUGAAAUACCACCCUGGCAUGCUUGAGGUUCUAACUCUGGUCCGUAAUCCGGAUCGAGGACAGUGUAUGGUGGGCAGUUUGACUGGGGCGGUCUCCUCCUAAAGAGUAACGGAGGAGUACGAAGGUGCGCUCAGACCGG
rnacentral:rRNA from 1 species